UGGUAGAAACUGUAUGCCCCCAUAGUAACCUGAACCUGGAAAAGACUGUAAGAUAAACAUAAUCUAUAUGCUUCCCAUAACAUUUAUAGAUCCAACAGUCUUGCCAGAGCUCCUGAGGUACUGCUGAAAAUUCAUUUGCUUGGCUCAUGGAGAAAACUGGGUACAAGAAGAGAGGAAUUCAAGAUAUGAGAGAAGAGGAUUUUUGAAAGUGAAUAAGAAUGGGAAAAUUCAUUUAACAGAGAAAAUGAAAGUGGUCCGGGUGAGGAAACAGAAGCCCAUGGAGUUUGGAGAGAGCACACCUGAAAAGAAGAGCAAAGAACAAUUCCUGGGUCCAGGACUCAAUCCACAAUGCUUGAGCCUCUCUUUCCUCUGGUAAAAUGGAGGGAUUUGUCUACAUGGCUGAUGAGGUUCCUUCCAGAUAUGGUCUAUGGUCUAUGAACACCUGGGUUGAGGUAAGGUCUUGUGACAAUGAAAUCACUUUAAAAGACUGAUAUAUAUUAAUUUAAGGUCACCAAGGAAUUCAGCUAUGUAAUUCCUAAAUGAAAACUCAAGUCAGUAGUCAGCCUUUUAUGGAGUUUAAUUACAAACAGGAGGAAGAAAGGUAUUAGAGAUAGAGAGAGAGAGGGAGAGAAGGGAAUAGGGCUUAAAUAACCCCUUCUGUUUAGGCUGGGCCAAAAGGCCCAAGCCCUUAGAUAGCUGGGGCAAAGAAAGGAGAUCAGUCCCUAUCACUCACGUGACCAAAAUGGAGAAAUAG
rnacentral:lncRNA from 1 species